rnacentral:rRNA from 1 species
GUGGGGAAUUUUGGACAAUGGGCGCAAGCCUGAUCCAGCAAUGCCGCGUGCAGGAAGAAGGCCUUCGGGUUGUAAACUGCUUUUGUACGGAACGAAACGGUCCGGGUUAAUACCCUGGGCUAAUGACGGUACCGUAAGAAUAAGCACCGGCUAACUACGUGCCAGCAGCCGCGGUAAUACGUAGGGUGCAAGCGUUAAUCGGAAUUACUGGGCGUAAAGCGUGCGCAGGCGGUUUUGUAAGACAGGCGUGAAAUCCCCGGGCUCAACCUGGGAAUUGCGCUUGUGACUGCAAGGCUGGAGUGCGGCAGAGGGGGAUGGAAUUCCGCGUGUAGCAGUGAAAUGCGUAGAUAUGCGGAGGAACACCGAUGGCGAAGGCAAUCCCCUGGGCCUGCACUGACGCUCAUGCACGAAAGCGUGGGGAGCAAACAGGAUUAGAAACCCCUGUAGUCC